GUCCACGCCGUAAACGAUGGAUGCUAGCAGUUUGCAGUAUCGACCCUGCAUGUUGCGAAGCUAACGCGUUAAGCAUCCCGCCUGUGGAGUACGGCCGCAAGGCUAAAACAUAAAGGAAUUGACGGGGACCCGCACAAGCGGUGGAGCGUGUUGUUUAAUUCGACGGUAAGCGAAGAACCUUACCAGGGUUUGACAUCCUGCCAAUCUUUCUGAAAGGAAAGAGUACCUUCGGGCCGCAGAGACAGGUGAUGCAUGGCCGUCGU
rnacentral:rRNA from 1 species